rnacentral:lncRNA from 1 species
CUGGAGGGCUGGUUAAGAGUAUGAAAUCAGUCUGUGAAUUACGCUUAAGAAAAACAUCCGCUUGCCAUUUCUCAAGCAAGAUUAGCUACACAUUUAAUAUUCAUAUCCGCCAGAAGUCAUCAGUUAAUUACAACCAGAAUCGAAUCCCAUCAAAAUCACACUCCUUCACCACAAACUUCCAUCAAACAGCACCAUCAAUUGAACAUGCAUAUCCAUAUGCUUAAUAAUCCCAUGAGAUUUUUGCCAUCUCAGCCUACAAAGAGCAAUUUACAUCCGUGAGGAGUCAACAAAAGUACCAACAAAUACACAAAUGGGCGAAGGUGUCAAUCAAACUCUUCUUUUUUUCUCAAAAUGUCUGAACUCUAUACACUUGGCAAUAUUAACUUCUAAAUAUUUGUACAGUCCGCAAACAUUCCAAAACACACAGCAUCAGGUCCUUGAGGAUAAGAUUGUGCAAUGCAAUGAUAUGACCAAGAACUAGAAUGUCAAUGUUCCUGGUACAAAACCACUGAAAGCAAAAAAGAAAAAGAAAAAAGAACUUGUUCACCAAUUUAAUACCUAUAAAAAUCAAUUAUUUAUUUAAAUGCUGAAAUGCUUGAGAACGAUUGGCAUUGAUGCUUGUCAUGGAUAAUGUGGAAUCCAACAAAGCUAAACAGCUGAACUCUUAGGAGCAUAGUGUGACUCCAAGUCACUUUAAUUAAGAAAAUUCAUAUUAUAAAAGUUCCAUAUAACCAAGGAAAUGUUGAAAGUAGCAAUGUCAGAAAGAAAAUCUAUUUCCAUCACAAGGCUAGAUGUUUUUUAGAAGUGGCGAUAGGCCAUUAGCCACAGGUGAGACCCAGCAACUACCAUUUGCACCAACAGUAAAUGUACACUAAAUUCAACAAAUACCUCACACCUGCGACCUAUUUCAGAAGAAAAAUAACAGCUUCUAAUCAUAAGGACCUCUUUCACACAUUUGUGCAAUGCAUGCAAAGAUGAGUGGAUAUUGGGCAGCUAAAUGAAUAAAAUUAUAUUGUGCAAUCUAACAAUGAGGCAGCGUGAUAUGUUGGGGUCACCACUGAGAUCCGACUCUUUCUGGAAAAUAGAUUAGAUAAUGCAGGGUCUUUGUAAAAGCCAAAUCAGGGAAAAAAAACAUACGCAGGAUAGUAGGAUAGAAUUUAAGAAAGGUCUAAAACUAUCAAAGAACACUAUAGGAAGCAGAUCUAUCAGGAAGGAAAAAAAGUAUACAAGCCUAAAUUUUUAGCCAUUUUCAACGUUGUGCCUAAAUGGACACCUCAAAAUGUUAAGUUUCCCACUAGCCCAACCUUACUCCAAGCACGCAUUCUGCAUGCUCAAUCCAAAAAAAACAUCAAUCAUGCCAUGCCACAUGAGAUAUAGAAUUUUUCUUAGCUAAAGACCAUUACAAUUCCAAGGAACACUCUUUAAACAGCUAAGAAAUACGUACCCUUUCACUUGAUUAUAUCAGAGAAAUAUGUUCCAAUUUUGAACAUAAUAGUAAAAUCCAAAGAUAUUAUAAGUUGUUGAAGCAAUAAUCAAACCCAUGAUAACUAGUAAAACGAAAAAACGAAUGUAAUGUCACACCUCAGAUGCAUUCUUCAAAUGGUCAAGCUCCUUGUCUAGGUCAUUGAUACAUUGUUUCAGGCCUGCAUUGGCGACGACUGGCUAGUUGUGUAAAAAAAUCAAACCCCAGAAUUGUUAAAAGCAGAACUACUGAAACAAUGACUGUGUAAGGAAUAGGUAUAAGCGCAUGUAUAAAUGCAUGAGAGGGAGGAGUGACAAAAUAAGGACCCUGGCAAUUAUUUUUUGCUCCGUUGUAAUUUUAGCAUUAGCAAUUUCCGCUGUCAAACCGUGGAGGAUGCACAGUCUUUCAACUCAAUUGUAGUGUUCGGGAAAAAACUCAAGUCUGUUCAAUCCACUCACACGCUGCGGGAAGAGAACGUUAUUGCAAGGCAUGA